rnacentral:rRNA from 1 species
GACAAAAGGGGCAAGCAUUGCUCGGAAUCACUGAACGUAAAGAGCGCGUAAACGGGAGGCCAAGUCGGUCAUGAAAUCUCCGGACUCAACCCGGAGGAGUCAGCCGAAACUGGUUUUCUUGAGGGAGGCAGAGGAGUCUGGAAUUCCCGGUGUAGCGGUGAAAUGUGUAGAGAUCAGAAGGAACACCGGUGGCAAAGGCGGAACUCUGGGCCUACCCUAACGCUGAGGCGCGAAGGCGUGGGGAGCAAACGGG